GUGGCGGAGCCAAUGAAGGCCUACCUGGAGGGCGGGCGGGUGUGUGGAGUCGCUGCUCAGGCACCUGGAGAACAGAAAGGAGACGCUGCAGCGCGCGGAUCCCCCAAAGACACACAUGACCCACCACCUCAGCCCCAAUGGGGAUGUCACCCUGAGGUGCUGGGCCCUGGGCUUCUACCCUGCGGAGAUCACACUGACCUGGCAGCGGGAUGGGGAAGACCAAACUCAGGACAUGGAGCUUGUGGAGACCAGGCCCUCAGGGGACAGAACCUUCCAGAAGUGGGCAGCUGUGGUGGUGCCUUCUGGAGAGGAGCAGAGAUACACAUGCCAUGCCCAGCAUGAGGGGCUGCCAGAGCCCCGCACCCUGAGAUGGGAACCAUCUUCCCAGACCACCAUCCUCAUUGUGGGAAUCGUUGCUGGCCUGUUUCUGGUUCUCCUUGGAGCUGUGGUCACUGGAGCUAUGAUGUGGAGGAAGAAGAACUCAGGCAGGGAAGGGGUGAGGGGGAGCUACUCUCAGGCUGCAAGUGGUGACAGUGACCAGGGCUCUGAUGUGUCUCUCACGGCUUGUAAAGUGUGACCCAGCUGCCUUUUGUGGGACUGAGUGACAGAAGAUUUGUUCAUGCCUACCCUUUGUGACUUCAAGAGCCUCUGACUUCUCUUUCUGCAAAGGACAUUUGAAUGGGUUUGUGUUCCUGUUAGGACAAUGUGAGGAUGUGGGGAGAAGACCAGCCCACCCCUGUGUCCACACUGACUCCCUUCACCGCCCUGACCUGUUGCCUUCCCUGAUCAUCUUCCCUGUUCCAGAGAGGUGGGGUGGGGACGUCUCCAUCCCUGUCUCUACUUCAUGGUGU